rnacentral:rRNA from 1 species
CCUACGGGUGGCAGCAGUGAGGAAUAUUGGUCAAUGGGCGAGAGCCUGAACCAGCCAAGUCGCGUGAAGGAUGACGGCCCUACGGGUUGUAAACUUCUUUUGUCAGGGAGCAAUUGGGUCCACGCGUGUGCUUAGCGUGAGUACCUGAAUAACAAGCAUCGGCUAACUCCGUGCCAGCAGCCGCGGUCAUACGUAGGAUGCGAGCGGUAUCCGAAUUUAUUGGUUUUAAAGGGUGCGUAGGCGGAAUAUCAAGUCAGCGGUAAAAAUUCGGGUCUCAACCGCGUCGUGCCGUUGAAACUGAUGUUCUUGAGUGGGCGAGAAGUAUGCGGAAUGCGUGGUGUAGCGGUGAAAUGCAUAGAUAUAACGCAGAACUCCGAUGGCGAAGGCAGCAUACCGGCGCCCAACUGACGCUGAAGCACGAAAGCGUGGGUAGCGAACAGGAUUAGAUACCCGAGUAGUC